GCCUGGGUGGCUUAGUCGGCUGAGCGUCUGACUUCGAGUCAGGUCAUGUUCUCACAGUUCGUGAGUUCGAGCCCCGCAUCGGGCU
rnacentral:tRNA from 1 species